CUGUGAAUAUCUUGCCCAACUUUACGUAACUCCUUAAAGUGCAGCCAUCGUUGCUCUCAUAGAUAUGAAUGAGUAGAUAGGACACGCCCCCUUUGAGCUGCGGCUACAGCGAGGCUAAGCUAGUGGGGGCAAAGUUUCAGUGCAUUCUGUUGAUGUAGACGGCGUGAAAACAGAAACAAGUAUGCCGGCUCACUGUGCUGCAUACAGUUACACACUGCGUCGUACGAUUGAGACAAGGAAACUUGGAAUGACUUUUCAUAGGUUUCCCAGAGACUAUGGGUUGAGGAGGAAUUGGAAGUUUGUCGGCUUAGACCUGGUGUCAUUCCAUCAGUGUUAAACUUCCCGGCUCAUCUUGGAAGAGUACGUGCCAGAAAGACCACGACCAAGCAGCCUUGAGAUCUUAGGCAGCGUCUCCCUCAGGUCCCUCUCUAUCUCCCC